rnacentral:rRNA from 1 species
UACGUAGGGGGCAAGCGUUGUCCGGAUUUAUUGGGCGUAAAGAGCGUGUAGGCGGCCAGGUAGGUCUGCUGUGAAAACUCGAGGCUUAACCUCGAGCUGUCGGCGGAAACCAUCUGGCUAGAGUCCGGAAGAGGAGAAUGGAAUUCCCGGUGUAGCGGUGAAAUGCGUAGAUAUCGGAAGGAACAUCAGUGGCGAAAGCGACUUCCUGGACCAGCACCGACGUUCAGGCACGAAAGCGUGGGGAGCAAACAGG